rnacentral:rRNA from 1 species
AGAGUUUGAUCCUGGCUCAGAUUGAACGCUGGCGGCAGGCCUAACACAUGCAAGUCGAGCGGAAACGAUCCUAGCUUGCUAGGAGGCGUCGAGCGGCGGACGGGUGAGUAACGCAUAGGAAUCUGCCCGAUAGUGGGGGAUAACCUGAGGAAACUCAGGCUAAUACCGCAUACGUCCUACGGGAGAAAGCAGGGGCUCUUCGGACCUUGCGCUAUCGGAUGAGCUUAUGUCGGAUUAGCUGGUUGGUGAGGUAAUAGCUCACCAAGGCGACGAUCCGUAGCUGGUCUGAGAGGAUGAUCAGCCACAUCGGGACUGAGACACGGCCCGAACUCCUACGGGAGGCAGCAGUGGGGAAUAUUGGACAAUGGGGGCAACCCUGAUCCAGCCAUGCCGCGUGUGUGAAGAAGGCCCUCGGGUUGUAAAGCACUUUCAGUGAGGAAGAAUGCUUGUCGGUUAAUACCCGGCAAGGGAGACAUCACUCACAGAAGAAGCACCGGCUAACUCCGUGCCAGCAGCCGCGGUAAUACGGAGGGUGCGAGCGUUAAUCGGAAUUACUGGGCGUAAAGCGCGCGUAGGCGGCUUGAUAAGCCGGUUGUGAAAGCCCCGGGCUCAACCUGGGAAUGGCAUCCGGAACUGUCAGGCUAGAGUGCAGGAGAGGAAGGUAGAAUUCCCGGUGUAGCGGUGAAAUGCGUAGAGAUCGGGAGGAAUACCAGUGGCGAAGGCGGCCUUCUGGACUGACACUGACGCUGAGGUGCGAAAGCGUGGGUAGCAAACAGGAUUAGAUACCCUGGUAGUCCACGCCGUAAACGAUGUCGACUAGCCGUUGGGGUCCUUGAGACCUUUGUGGCGCAGUUAACGCACUAAGUCGACCGCCUGGGGAGUACGGCCGCAAGGUUAAAACUCAAAUGAAUUGACGGGGGCCCGCACAAGCGGUGGAGCAUGUGGU